GCUGUAGGAGCCAAGGGGACUGGCAAGGAGCUGUGCAACCACGCAGGAAAAGCAUCUGGAUCCUCCCUUGAGCUACCCAACUUUAUAUUAAAGACAGGUCCUUGCUCUGUUGCCCAGGCUGCUGUGCAGUGGCAUGACCAUAGUUCACUGCAACCUCAAACUCCUGAGCUUCAGCGAUCCUCCCACCUCAGCCUCCCAAGUAGUCCCAUAGUCCCAGCCCCUGAGCUGGGACUACAGGUAUGUGCCACCAUGCCUGGCUAAUUUUUUAUAGAGACGGGGUUUCACUAUAUUGCGCAGACUUGUCUUGAACUCCUGGGCUCAAGCAACCCUCCUGCUUCAGCCUCCGAAAGCACUGGGAUUACAGGCAGGAGGCACCUGACCUCCAAGGGUUACAGGGUUACAUCUCUUUUUUUUUUUUUUUUUUUUGAGAUGGAGUUUCAUUCUUGUCCCCGAGGCUAGAAUGCAGUGGUGUGAUCUCAGCUCACUGCAAACUCCGCCUCCUGGGUUUCAGCAAUUCUCUUGCUUCACCCUCUGGAGUAGCUGGCACAGGUGCGUGCCACCACUCCUGGCUAAUUUUUGUAUGUUUAGUAGAGACGGGGUCUCACUAUGUUGGCCAGGCUGGUCUCAAACUCCUGACCUCAGGUGAUCUGCCCACCUCAGCCUCCGAAAGUGCUGGGAUUACAGGGGUAAGCCACCGUGCCAGGCCCUCCAAGGGUUACAUCUUAUGUAAAGUAUCAAAGCCAGGAAACUGACGUGGGUAUAAUGUGUGUGCCUAAUUCUGUGUUGUUUUAUCACAUGCAAAUUUGUGUAACUACUACCUCUUCAAGUAAAAUGCAGAACUGCUCCCCCACCAAACAGAUCUCUCUGGUGAGACCUCUGUGUAGCCAUACCCACUCUCUCCCCAUCAACAACUAAUGUGUCUCCAUCGCUAUCAUUUUGAGGAGGCUGAGUUUUAAAUCAACUUCCGACCCUCUCAGCAGUGUGACCUUGGAUAAGUCAUUUGUCCUUUUCUGGAUGUUGAUCUUCUCAGCUAAAGUAAGACAAGGUUGGCUCACAUCAACAUUCCUCUUGAAUUUCCACAGGCUGAUAUGAUCUGAAAAUGCUACGGAGAUUAUGAGAAAGAAAAUGGGGUUUUAUGGUGAAAUAAACUAGGGAAAUGAUGCUUUCCAUAAAUACAUAAUGCUUCUUUACCGUGAAUUCUCAGCCCUUUAAUACACUAAGGUGAACUGUGAAUCUUCUAGUGUGGGAGGUAUACGCAGCAUUUUCCAAAUUUAUCUGAACACAGAAUGCUC
rnacentral:lncRNA from 1 species